rnacentral:rRNA from 1 species
UACUUAGGGGGCUAGCGUUGUUCGGAAUUACUGGGCGUAAAGGGCGCGUAGGCGGACAGUUUAGUCAGAGGUGAAAGCCCAGGGCUCAACCUUGGAAUUGCCUUUGAUACUGGCUGUCUUGAGUUCGGGAGAGGUGAGUGGAAUGCCGAGUGUAGAGGUGAAAUUCGUAGAUAUUCGGCGGAACACCAGUGGCGAAGGCGACUCACUGGCCCGAUACUGACGCUGAGGCGCGAAAGCGUGGGGAGCAAACAGG